rnacentral:rRNA from 1 species
AGAGUUUGAUUAUGGCUCAGGACGAACGCUGGCGGCGUGCCUAAUACAUGCAAGUCGAGCGAAGCAUUCUGAAAGCUUGCUUUUAGAAUGACUGAGCGGCGGACGGGUGAGUAACGCGUGAGCAACCUGGCCUGUACAGGGGGAUAACAGCUGGAAACGGCUGCUAAUACCGCAUAAGACCACAGCACCGCAUGGUGGAGGGGUCAAAGAUUUAUCGGUACAGGAUGGGCUCGCGUCCCAUUAGCUGGUUGGCAGGGUAAAAGCCUACCAAGGCAACGAUGGGUAGCCGACCUGAGAGGGUGAUCGGCCACACUGGAACUGAGACACGGUCCAG